rnacentral:rRNA from 1 species
UGAGGUAGAUAGGUCCGGGGUGGAAGCGUGGCGACACGUGCAGCUGACGGAUACUAAUCGAUCGAGGACUUAACCUA